rnacentral:misc_RNA from 1 species
UUUCCGUAGGUGAACCUGCGGAAGGAUCAUUCAUAAUAAAGUGUUUUAUGGCACUUUUUAAAAAUCCAUAUCCACCUUGUGUGCAAUGUUAGAUCUCGUCAAUCUUGGCGAGAUUUUUAUACAUCAACUCAUUCUUUAACUAAUUUGUCUGAAAAAUAUUAUGAAUACUUAAUUCAAAAUACAACUUUCAACAACGGGUCUCUUGGCUCUCACAUCGAUGAAGAACGCAGC